UUAAAUCUUAAUGUAUUUUUCCAUUUUUAGUGUAAAGCGGCAAUGUUUAAUAGAAGAACUUGGACAAAUAGUCAAAUAGUUAUAUUUAUGUUUUUUUUCUUUUUUUUUAUAUAAUGGUAAUGUUACAUUAUGGAGAUAAGCCGUUUUUUUAGUGAAAAUUGUAAUCUUACAUAUGUUUAAUGUAAUUUUUCUAUUUUUUUAUGUUGUGUGUUUACAUAUUAUUGUUAUUUUUAAAUGUAAAAUGGUAAUCUUACAUAUGUUUAAUGUAGUAUUUCCAUUUUUUAUGUUGUAUGUUUACAUAUUAUUUAUUAUUUUCAAAAUUAUAUAUAAUACUUUUUUUACAAAAUAGUAAUAUUACAUUAUGGAGAUAAGCCGUCUUUUUUUUAGUGAAAAAUGGCAAUCUUACAUAUGUUUAAUUAAUGUAGUUUUUCCAUUUUUUAUGUUGUAUGUUUACAUAUUAUUAUUUUUAAAUAAAAAUGUAAAAUAGUAAUCUUACAUAUGUUUAAUGUAGUAUUUCUUUUUUUUUAUGUUGUAUGUUUACAUAUAUUUAUUAUUUUUGAAAUUAUAUAUAAUGUUUUUUGUUUUUUUUUAUAAAACGGUAAUGUUACAUUAUGGAGAUAAGCCGUCUUUUUUUUUAAGUGAAAAAUGAUAAUCUUACAUAUGUUUAGUGUAGUUUUUCUAUUUUUUGUGUUGUAUGUUUACAUAUUAUUUAUAAUUUUCAAAAAUUUGUAAUAUUUGUAAUAUUAAAAUGUAAAACUAUAUUUUAUGACACGUGUCAUCUUUCGAGAGAAGUUUUUUUUGCUGAUGUGGACGCUCUAUGGAGCCUCAAAAGGUCCCUUUUAUUAGUAAAAAUGUAAAAUAGUAAUCUUACAUAUGUUUAAUGUAGUAUUUCUUUUUUUUUAUGUUGUAUGUUUACAUAUAUUUAUUAUUUUUGAAAUUAUAUAUAAUGUUUUUUGUUUUUUUUUAUAAAACGGUAAUGUUACAUUAUGGAGAUAAGCCGUCUUUUUUUUUAAGUGAAAAAUGAUAAUCUUACAUAUGUUUAGUGUAGUUUUUCUAUUUUUUGUGUUGUAUGUUUACAUAUUAUUUAUAAUUUUCAAAAAUUUGUAAUAUUUGUAAUAUUAAAAUGUAAAACUAUAUUUUAUGACACGUGUCAUCUUUCGAGAGAAGUUUUUUUUGCUGAUGUGGACGCUCUAUGGAGCCUCAAAAGGUCCCUUUUAUUAGUAGAGAUGUUUUUUGCAUAGGCUUACGUUGUGUAACUCAGGUUAUGUUCUGAAUUUCUUAUUUAGGUUUUGAC
rnacentral:lncRNA from 1 species